rnacentral:rRNA from 1 species
UUAAGCGACUAAGCGUACACGGUGGAUGCCCUGGCAGUCAGAGGCGAUGAAGGACGUGCUAAUCUGCGAUAAGCGUCGGUAAGGUGAUAUGAACCGUUAUAACCGGCGAUUUCCGAAUGGGGAAACCCAGUGUGAUUCGUCACACUAUCAUUACGUGAAUACAUAGCGUAAUGAAGCGAACCGGGGGAACUGAAACAUCUAAGUACCCCGAGGAAAAGAAAUCAACCGAGAUUCCCCCAGUAGCGGCGAGCGAACGGGGAGCAGCCCAGAGUCUGAAUCAGCUUGUGUGUUAGUGGAACGGUCUGGAAAGUCCGACGGUACAGGGUGAUAGUCCCGUACACCAAAAUGCACAGGUUGUGAACUCGAAGAGUAGGGCGGGACACGUGGUAUCCUGUCUGAAUAUGGGGGGACCAUCCUCCAAGGCUAAAUACUCCUGACUGACCGAUAGUGAACCAGUACCGUGAGGGAAAGGCGAAAAGAACCCCGGCGAGGGGAGUGAAAAAGAACCUGAAACCGUGUACGUACAAGCAGUGGGAGCCUCUUUAUGGGGUGACUGCGUACCUUUUGUAUAAUGGGUCAGCGACUUAUAUUCUGUAGCAAGGUUAACCGUAUAGGGGAGCCGAAGGGAAACCGAGUCUUAACUGGGCGUUAAGUUGCAGGGUAUAGACCCGAAACCCGGUGAUCUAGCCAUGGGCAGGUUGAAGGUUGGGUAACACUAACUGGAGGACCGAACCGACUAAUGUUGAAAAAUUAGCGGAUGACUUGUGGCUGGGGGUGAAAGGCCAAUCAAACCGGGAGAUAGCUGGUUCUCCCCGAAAGCUAUUUAGGUAGCGCCUCGUGAAUUCAUCUUCGGGGGUAGAGCACUGUUUCGGCUAGGGGGUCAUCCCGACUUACCAACCCGAUGCAAACUGCGAAUACCGAAGAAUGUUAUCACGGGAGACACACGGCGGGUGCUAACGUCCGUCGUGAAGAGGGAAACAACCCAGACCGCCAGCUAAGGUCCCAAAGUCAUGGUUAAGUGGGAAACGAUGUGGGAAGGCACAGACAGCCAGGAUGUUGGCUUAGAAGCAGCCAUCAUUUAAAGAAAGCGUAAUAGCUCACUGGUCGAGUCGGCCUGCGCGGAAGAUGUAACGGGGCUAAACCAUGCACCGAAGCUGCGGCAGCGACACUAUGUGUUGUUGGGUAGGGGAGCGUUCUGUAAGCCGUUGAAGGUGUACUGUGAGGUAUGCUGGAGGUAUCAGAAGUGCGAAUGCUGACAUAAGUAACGAUAAUGCGGGUGAAAAACCCGCACGCCGGAAGACCAAGGGUUCCUGUCCAACGUUAAUCGGGGCAGGGUGAGUCGACCCCUAAGGCGAGGCCGAAAGGCGUAGUCGAUGGGAAACAGGUUAAUAUUCCUGUACUUGGUGUUACUGCGAAGGGGGGACGGAGAAGGCUAUGUUAGCCGGGCGACGGUUGUCCCGGUUUAAGCAUGUAGGCGGAGGUUCCAGGUAAAUCCGGUACCUUUUAACGCUGAGGUGUGAUGACGAGGCACUACGGUGCUGAAGUAACAAAUGCCCUGCUUCCAGGAAAAGCCUCUAAGCAUCAGGUAACACGAAAUCGUACCCCAAACCGACACAGGUGGUCAGGUAGAGAAUACCAAGGCGCUUGAGAGAACUCGGGUGAAGGAACUAGGCAAAAUGGUGCCGUAACUUCGGGAGAAGGCACGCUGAUAUGUAGGUGAAGUGAUUUACUCAUGGAGCUGAAAUCAGUCGAAGAUACCAGCUGGCUGCAACUGUUUAUUAAAAACACAGCACUGUGCAAACACGAAAGUGGACGUAUACGGUGUGACGCCUGCCCGGUGCCGGAAGGUUAAUUGAUGGGGUUAUCCGUAAGGAGAAGCUCUUGAUCGAAGCCCCGGUAAACGGCGGCCGUAACUAUAACGGUCCUAAGGUAGCGAAAUUCCUUGUCGGGUAAGUUCCGACCUGCACGAAUGGCGUAAUGAUGGCCAGGCUGUCUCCACCCGAGACUCAGUGAAAUUGAACUCGCUGUGAAGAUGCAGUGUACCCGCGGCAAGACGGAAAGACCCCGUGAACCUUUACUAUAGCUUGACACUGAACACUGGUCCUUGAUGUGUAGGAUAGGUGGGAGGCUUUGAAGUGUGGACGCCAGUCUGCAUGGAGCCAUCCUUGAAAUACCACCCUUUAAUGGCUGGUGUUCUAACGUGGACCCGUGAUCCGGGUUGCGGACAGUGUCUGGUGGGUAGUUUGACUGGGGCGGUCUCCUCCUAAAGAGUAACGGAGGAGCACGAAGGUUAGCUAAUCCUGGUCGGACAUCAGGAGGUUAGUGCAAAGGCAUAAGCUAGCUUGACUGCGAGAGUGACGGCUCGAGCAGGUGCGAAAGCAGGUCUUAGUGAUCCGGUGGUUCUGAAUGGAAGGGCCAUCGCUCAACGGAUAAAAGGUACUCCGGGGAUAACAGGCUGAUACCGCCCAAGAGUUCAUAUCGACGGCGGUGUUUGGCACCUCGAUGUCGGCUCAUCACAUCCUGGGGCUGAAGUAGGUCCCAAGGGUAUGGCUGUUCGCCAUUUAAAGUGGUACGCGAGCUGGGUUUAGAACGUCGUGAGACAGUUCGGUCCCUAUCUGCCGUGGGCGCUGGAGAAUUGAGGGGGGCUGCUCCUAGUACGAGAGGACCGGAGUGGACGCAUCACUGGUGUUCGGGUUGUCAUGCCAAUGGCAUUGCCCGGUAGCUAAAUGCGGAAGAGAUAAGUGCUGAAAGCAUCUAAGCACGAAACUUGCCCCGAGAUGAGUUCUCCCUGAGACUUAAAGUCUCCUGAAGGAACGUUAAAGACGAUGACGUUGAUAGGUCGGGUGUGUAAGUGUAGCGAUACAUUGAGCUAACCGAUACUAAUGAACCGUGAGGCUUAACCU